UCCUCUUCCUGCCUCCUGCACUGGCCACCCCAGGGCACUAGAUCUCAACAGUCUUUCCAUGUGGGGCUCUACCCUGCCCAGAGGAGGGGCUCUUCUAGUUGCCUGAAAGCUAUUUGCCAUAAUCCAAGUCUCAGGCGGCCGCAGAUGCCUUUGCAGACUCUCGGAGCUUCUUGCUUCUCAUCUAUAAGGUGGAUGUCACCUGGAAGCCUUACCUGUAUGUGAGGUAGGGGAGGUGUAGCUGCCUCCCAGGCUUCACCAAGGUCCUUCCAGACCAGACUGACAACCUCUAAGUGCCUGGGGAACUGGCAGAGUGGCAUUCCGGGACUGUGACGCUGGGGCUAAGGUCUCCAGCACCUCCAGGGGAGAUGGGCCGCCCAGGACCCCCAGAGGAGAAGGUCUCUGACACCCAGCUGUCCGGGGCUCCUGGUGCCCCUGGAGAUGCACUUGGUGACGACAUCGAUGGUACAGAGGAUUCAGACUUGGUGCCCUCUGUCACCCUGGCUGCAGCCCUCAUCCUAUUGUUCCUCCUAGUGUCACUCUGGCUGGCAUGGCCACUCUGCCAAGCCUCCUACUAAGUGGAUUCCUGAGUGGAGGGCAGCAAGACCAUUGGGCUUCCAGCCCCACUCUGGGUCAAUGACUCUCAGUGCUGUGGGAAAGUGUGGCAGCUCGUGCUCACCCGGUCCACUUCCCUUGAUGCCUGGCUUUACUCAUGUUUCUCAUCUUUAUAAAGCCAUGCUGCAGACUUCAGAUAAAGCCGAAUGCCUUCA